AAACAACUCUUCCCUUAAGAUUUUUUUCUUAAGGGGACAUUGAGGGUAUCUGGCUUAGAAGUAAAAUCUCUAGCCCGGAGACGCUUUAAAUGACUAAAGGCCUGCAAGCCAAAGUUUGAUUGCGCCUGAACUUUUUCUUAAUUUCAAGCGAAAGCUCUUGCGAACUAGAACUUUAUUAUUGCCUUGGGGGCCUCCCAAAGAAAACAUUCAACA
rnacentral:misc_RNA from 1 species